ensembl:lncRNA
GAGCAAUGAGCGUCUUGGGCACGGUUUCGAGGCGGGGUUCCGAGGAGCCGGGGGUGGGGCCAGCUUGGAGCGGAUACAGCAAAAAGCUCUCACCAGAGGCUGAGCAGAUGCUGAUGCCAUGCUUCUUGAUUUUCCCAGCCAACAGAAUUGUGAAUUGAAUAAACCUCUCUUCUUUACAAAUUACCCAGUCUCAGGUAUCCUGUUAUGGCAACACAAAAUGGACUAAGACAGGAUGUCGCUAUCAAUCACGCUUCGACUGAGUACAGCCAAACCAGGAUACUCAGGGAAUUGGAACCUGUUAUCAGACUUCCAUUUAGUACAGACACAGCGCCAGGGGACUGAGCAUUCUUCGGCAACACCCUUUGGACCCCUUCUCUACACCAAUGCUGUGUGACCUGAAGGGCUGGGGACAUGAAGGAGCAGCUCAGCUAAGGUGACCCAGAUGGUUGGGCUCGGAGCUGGAAGAACACUGUGGUCUCCUACCUCCCAAUUCCUGCAUCUGUCCUGCUUGUAAGAGGCUUGCCAAGAACAGGAGCUCUUGUUUGUAGGUCUCUAGGGAUGGCCACCGCAGGGAGUGUGAUUUGAAGAUGGGUUCGGGGUGACAUUACAGGCCCCCUUUAGGCUCUGCUGGUUGCAGGCCAGCUCUCUGGGGUGCCUUUCUGAUGGCUGCUAUUUUAAAGGCAGAUAGGAUGACAUUAACAACUUUUAUCAUUCAACUAGCAAGGGCUCAGGACGGGCAGCCCCCUUCUGGGAAUGUGCCUAACUCCUGCCCCAGAAUGGAGGAGUCUCUGUGGCUCUAGGGGAGCUGGCCUUCUGUGGAGUCUGAGCAAUGUACUGCACAGGGAGAAGACGCUGCCAGCUGAUACCAGUGUCUCUAUGCAGAGACAUUUCCAGGACACCACGUUAAGCAGCAGAGACACAAGAAGUCAAGGCCCAUGUGCUCUGGUGUGGACGUGUGCCUCCUGUGCCUCAGUGGCAUCAUCUGUACCAUGGGAGGUGUGUAAUGAGGGGUGCAAUCACGACUGCAAGUGCACGUACAUAGUAGAUGCCCAGGAAGUGCCAGUCCCCAUCUCCUUCCCAGUUUCUUCAGAGCCUUCUGGAAGGCACUGGCAUAGCCCAGUCCUGAGGCAUUGCUUUUUCUUUCAUGGAUGAUCAGGAGCUUCUGUGAUUUCUUCCCCCUCACUCUUCAUUUUGCCAAGAUGUCGCCCAUAGUAACCUCAGCAGUGGAGCGGGGAUUCUGCACUGUUCCACUGCCCGGGGCUGCACAUCCACGUGAGCGGGGCCGACCCGUCCCAGAACGCUUUGCCCUUGGAAGGCAGCAUCACCUGCAGGGGCAAUGCUGUGGACAGCUCUGGCAUGUCCUCCAGGGCCCUGGCAUGGUCAGUGAGAAAAGGCCCCCAGGCGUGGGCUUCUCCCAUCAGUCAGGUUCAGAAGGCUUCCUGGGGUAAGUAGAGACGCUCCCUACCCAACUGAGUUGUUAAAAUGACAGGAGGGAGAGGGGAAGGUCUGGGCCUGUGGCACUGUGAUUUUUUUUUUCUUUCUUUCUUUUUUUUUUUUUUUGGAGACUCGUUGGGGUAGAAAUGAGGACAGGAAGAAGUACAAUCCGUCUGGGAUUGGUUUAUUUUUAUUGCUUUUUAAAACCAUGUGACUAAUUGGUGUUCAUUGAAAAAGAGAAAACAAAAAUAAGCCAAGAGAAGACAGCAAAAAUAGUCUGUUAACAUCUUGGCAAAUAUCCUUUUUCUCUGCAUAGAAACAGAGAAUACUUUUGUUUCACUUAUAAAAUGUUUCUUGCUGUA